GCGCUGGGAUCGAGCCAACAUGGCCACGUGCUAAUCGAAGCCCUCCUCGCUCCCCCGAGUGUCUCAGGACAUACGUGUUUACGUGCAGUGUUCGUGGACACCCCGAGUUUUAAUGUUUUCGUAACAACAACAACGAACGCAUUUUUCUCCUGUUCCGUUCGGCGUAUUCCGUCCAUCGGCUCGUUUCGCAUCGGAGCGUUUUCACCUUGGUCCUAAGAUUGGAAAUAACGGGGAGUGUGUCAGAUAUCGUAAACGUUCGAUGAUUCACGAAUCGAACGGUUUCACGUCCAAAAAAUGCUGUUAUAAAAAAAUCCUGCCAUCUACUUCCACGUAGAUAAAUGUCCACGCGAACACAUCGAUCAAUACAUUUAUACACAUCAUAAGAAGUGCGCGAAUGUUGGGUGCUGGAGCAAAGUGCAAUGAUUACUGUCACUCGCUCGUGAGUUCUCCUCGAUGCACAAAUCGAGCUUCGUUCACGUGACGACUUUGUUGAUCAGUGUUUUUGCUUCUGCGACGAUCGUCAUGUCCUCCCCGGCAACUGUUGCCAAUUGCACGUGUACCUGUCAACAACCAGUCGCCGAUUCGGACGCUUGUGUUAUCAUCAACGAGUCGACGACGAAUUCUCCAUACUCUAAAACUUUGACGAACCGCGAGAAAAAAGAUGCCCGGAACGAGCAGCGUGUUAUAGCGGGUUAUCGACCACAUGGAAAUCUAGCCAGACUUCUCUUGGACAAGCAGAGAGCUGACGAACGUCUGGAGAGCUACGACAAAACACGAUGGUACACUGUCGACAAAACCAAAAUACGGGAUGACAUCCUCAAACUAUGGGUCCCUCUGGGCGCUGGACCACACAACAAUCUACCGGACAAAGUCGCCGAAAAUUUUCUCUCCAAAUCGGCCGAAAGAUCAGACUCUCUGCCGCUUCAGGCUUGGCAUUCGGUCGCUAGAUCUGCACUCUGCUGGUUUGUCAGCCAGACGUCUAUCAAUGGCCUACUCGGCAGAGGCUCCAUGCACGUAUUCUCUGCUGAACAAUUCCAAAAGAUUAUCGAUGCCAGUCGCUUCACUGGUCCCUGGCAUUCCGUCGUCGAUCUUGGAGCUGGCGAUGGCGCUACCACUGCCCAUAUCGCUCAUCUCUUCGACAGAGUUUACGCAACCGACAUAUCCGCCCCGAUGCGAUGGGCGUUAUCAAAACGAAAGUUUACAGUAUUGGACAUCGACAAGUGGCACGAAACGGGCCCCUUCAACAUCGUGUUAUGCCUGAAUCUUCUGGAUCGUUGCGAUCGUCCUGACACACUUUUGCGACAAUUGCGUACGACACUAGCACCAGGUGGUCGUUUGGUGGUUGCACUCGUUCUCCCGUUUAGUCCGUACGUCGAAGUUGGCCAAAGAGGCGAUCACAAACCAUCGGAAUAUCUUCCUAUAAAGGGCAAUGGUCUCGAGGGACAAAUAGCUAGUCUCGUCGAUCGUGUAUUUGCUCCUGUCGGUCUCAAAUGUCUCGCUUGGAGCAAAUUGCCUUAUCUCUGCGAAGGAAAUCUCGGACAGUCAUAUUACUUUUUGGACGAUGUCAUUUUUGUUCUCGAAGCUCAACAGGACGAACCUUACAACAGUACUCGAAGCAGAGACUACGAGCCAAAGAAUGCUUCACCGAAUUCGGGUGGGAUCUGAAGAUAACGGAACGAGGCCCAGGAAUUGGUGUUUUUUAAUAUAUAUAUUUCCGGUCGAUAAAAAACAGCUGGAAACGGGAAUAUGCGGUGGUGGAAGAAAACUUCUCAACGAUUGUACGAGUUGUAUUGUAUCGACCAGGGCUGCGAAAGACAAUAACAAAUCAAAUCUUGAAUCAUUCGGAUUUUCAAGUGUUUCUCAAGCCGCUCUGACCACGCACGGUCUGAAUAACCCCAAUGCUUAUUUUCAGCAAAAAGUUCAAUACUUUCCGAAUGAAUAUUUUUGAGAUUUUUAAUAGUUUUGCCUUUCAAUUACUUCUGAGAGCAGAGCGCGGUGUCAGAUUUCAGUCGUACUAAGUAGUUAGAAGUAUAACUCGAUAACGAGAUGAUUAUUAAUUGUACCUAAUUGAUAAUUGAAUCAAAUUAUAAUAGUAAAUAGAUUCAUCAAUUUUUCAUUUCCAGAGAACAAUACCAAAAGAUACUAAUACCAAAUAUUGGCCACUGAAAUCUUUGCAAUAAUGUCAACAGCUCGAAUAGUAAACCAUCGAUAGUACAAUCAUACAAAAACGAGUCAUAAACACUAAAACAAAAUGAAAAAUAAAACUUCACCUUUAAAAUCAUUCAAAAUAUGUUUUUAACAUGGAGUAUCCAUAUUUUUCUACAAUCAUAAUUCAUACUUAGUUAAUCGGAGAAAAAUCUGAGUUUAUUAUUUUUUCAAAUGGUCUUCGGUCUAAAACACUCAAAUAUUUUCAUACUAUCUUCAAACAUUUUCUAUUCGUUUGUUCCAUUAGUCAAUCGUUAUUCUCAUGCAUACUUCGUAGUAAUCGAUAUUUGUACAUAAAAUAAAAUGUUGAAUUUGAGAAAAAAGUGGAAUUUCGAAUAUACAAUAUUUAAUCAUA
rnacentral:misc_RNA from 1 species